GACGAACGCUGGCGGCGUGCCUAAUACAUGCAAGUCGAACGCAGUGGGGACGGGUGAGUAACACGUGGGUAACCUCCCAUCAGAGGGGAUAACACUUGGAAACAGGUGCUAAACCGAUACUGAUGGAUGGACCCGCGGUGCAUUAGCUAGUUGGUGAGGUAACGGCUCACCAAGGCCACGAUGCAUAGCCCACCGUAGAGGGUGUUUGGCCACACUGGGAAUGGGACAAGGCCCAGAAGCCGAAGGGAGGGAGGAGGAGGGAAUCUUCGGCAAGGGAAGGAAGGCUGACCGAGCAACGCCGCGUGAGGGAAGAAGGUUUUCGGAUCGUAAAACCCUGUUUUUAGAGAAGCGGUAUUUAACCAGAAAGCCAAGGCUAACUACGUGCCAGCAGCCGCGGUAAUAC
rnacentral:rRNA from 1 species